UGUCAGCUUCCUUCCAGAUGUUCGAGAAACUACCGAGCGCUGCGGUAUUACGUAUUUACAAAGUCAACUAAUAUCGGAUAUACUACGCAGCAAAAAUAAAGUGUCUAGAGUUGAUGAUGGAAUUAAUAUAAUCAAAUCUAGAUUCAAAGGAAAAAAGGUUCUCAUUCUUUUGGAUGAUAUAGAUGACAAGAAUCAACUAGAUGCAUUGGCCGGGGAACGUAAUUGGUUUAUGGUAGGAAGUUUGAUCAUUGUUACAACUAGAAAUAAAGCUGUUCUUGAUCAAUCUGAAUUCGAGGUGGACUACAAGUAUGAAUUGAAUGGAUUGGAUGAGGUGCAUGCUUUGCUUUUGUUUAAUAGACAUGCAUUUCGUGCGGACCAUUCUCCGAAGGACUUUGAUGGUAUAUCUCGUGAUAUCAUAUCUACCAUGGGUGGGCUUCCCUUGGCACUUGAAGUCGUAGGUUCAUACUUGUAUAAAAAGAAGAAUAAAGGUGUAUGGGAAGAUGUGCAGAAGAAAUUAAAAAACCAACCACAUAGAGAUGUCCAAAAAAUAUUGCAAAUAAGUUAUGAUGCAUUAGAAGAUGGACAUAAGCAGAUUUUUCUCGAUAUCGCUUGUUUCUUUAUUGACAUACAUGACAAUGGCAAAGCUGCACGAUUAGCCAUGUACAUGUGGGAGGAUUGUGGGUUUUAUCCAAAUCAAGGAAUUGAAGAGUUGAAGUUGAGGUGCUUAAUUAAAAUUGGAGAUAAUGGUGAAUUUAUGAUGCAUGAUCAACUGAGAGAUCUUGGAAGGAGCAUUUUUUGCCAAGGACAACCGCUUAAGAAAUGUAGUGGACCAUGGGACGACAAAUAUGCGGGAGUCCCAAGAGUACUAAGACAUUCAGAGAGACACCCCCGGUUCCACGACUUUCCGGGGGCAGCUUCUAGCGGAGAUUCCAAGUUUUCUGAAGUGAGAUGGCUUACGUGGGACUUUCCUGGAAACACUAGUAGGGGAGGAAUCACAGAGAUUUGGAAAGGAUGGAAAUCAUUCAACUUGCAUUUGCCAAAAUUAUCGGUGCUGGUGUUAUGGGAUGGUAACACUAGGGGAGGAAUCACAGAGAAUUGGAAAGGAUGGAAAUCAUUCAAGGCGUCAAAGCAGCUUAAAGUUCUCAAGGUUCAACACUGUGCUAAUUUAAGAUGUACUCCUGAACUCUCAGCUUUCACGCAGUUGAAAAUUCUCCAAUUUGGCGGUUGUGGUAGAUUGAAGCAUCUCCACCCUUCUAUUGGCAAACUCACAAGCCUCGUUACCUUGGACUUGGUUUUCUGUAGAAAUCUCAAGAAGCUACUAGAGGAGGUGGGUGGAUUGAAAGAUUUAGAAGAACUUAGUUUAAAUCACUCUAGUAUUACAGCAAUUCCUUCGUCUAUUGGUUCUUUGAGGAAAUUGAAGACACUAAGUGCCUUCAUGUGUAGAUCACUGAGAGAAAUCCCCAGCUCAAUUGGGGAUUUACAGAAUUUGCAAAACCUUAACUUGCAAUGUACUGCGAUCGAAAAGCUUCCCAAUGCUAUUGGAGGGUUGAAAAAUCUGCAGUUUCUAAAUCUCACCCAGUGUAGUAGUCUGAAAGGGGCAAUUCCAAGUGAAAUCGGUGACUUGCCUUCCCUCAAGACUAUCUAUCUCAGUCACUCAUCAAUAUCUAAACUGCCAGAAAGCCUCCGGAAUCUUUCUUCUCUCCGAAGCCUUGAACUAUCGGGGUGUAAGCAGCUCUGGUCGCUACCAGCGCUUCCUUCUUCUCUCCGAAGCCUUUACCUAACGGGUUGUAAAGAGCUCUGGUCGCUGCCAGAGCUUCCUUCGGGCUUAACAUAUCUGUUUAUUACUUGUCAAAGGCUUGGACUGCCACAGCUCCUUCGCCUCACCCACCCAGAAACACUCUAUCUUGAGGUACGUUAUUUACUUGAAGACAUCCGCAAGCUUUCCUCAAUAACACUGAAACUCUGUUUUGAGGAGUGGGAUAAGCUGACAUCACUUUCGCUCCACGGACUCAUGCACUUGGAAGAGCUUUCAAUAAAAAAGUGCAGUUCCAUUAAAAGGUUGGACCUUUUAGGACUUAUUCAUCUGAAACGAUUACGCAUUGAGCAUUGCAAGCUGACAUCACUUUCGCUCCACGGACUCAUGCACUUGGAAGAGCUUUCAAUAAAAAAGUGCAGUUCCAUUAAAAGGUUGGACCUUUUAGGACUUAUUCAUCUUAAACGAUUACGCAUUGAGCAUUGCGAUAGCCUAGUUGAAAUUAUGGGCCAUAACUUAAAGUCCUUGAAGGUCAUAUUUUUAGAUGAAUGCAAGCGUUUGAAGAAAUUAUCGAAUUUUAACUAUGGCAAUCUAGUUGAAAUUCAAGCUCCUGACGGUGCAAAGUUCUUAGAAGAGUUGGAUUUUACAGGAUCUGAGAGGUUACGAUCUCGAGUAGCUCGAGACUGCAAGAAACUUACUCAGCUUUAGGGACUUGAAAAGUUGAAUUCAAUUCAUUUAUCUAUUAUUGGUUGUGACUCAUUGGAACCAAUACCGAACUUACCUGGAAUACACGUCUAUAGAAGUUAUUAACAAGAGCGGUCUUUUGAUUUAUGGAGUGAUUGGUGUGAUUUUGAUUCAUGGAGUGAUGUUUCCCGAAUAGAGGGAUCUGUACUUUCCUAAAUUGCCAGUCUUACAUAAUUGAAGGAGUGGGGCAAUUGGUCGUAGAAGCUGACAUGAUGCUUUAGCUAAGAUCAAAAUGCAGACCCUAAUGUAAAUAGAAGGCAUUGAGGCUGAUGAACUUCUGCUACUCAUUAUUGUAUACUACGCCUAGAAUUUCCCAAUGUCCAAUGUUCAUAUUUUCUUUGAAAAAAUCUCUGGCCAUUUUGAGUUACUUUGUAAGUUCUUUUGUAUGUCAAAUUUGACUAAUGGUAGAUAUCGUGUUUGGGACAAACGCCUUUCGAUUCUCCAUAAUGCUUGAAACCCCUGUCAAGUUUCUUACUGUUCCCUUGAUGUCCCUCAUUAACCUUCUUAGAAGAGCAUCACUUCUCAGAAUAUGAUGAACUGAGCUAAAAUAAAAUUCAAGGUUUCUAUUUGGUGACAAAAGAUAUGUUAAAGUAGUUUUGGCUAGUCUGUCAUAUAUGAAUGUAGAACACCUUAACAUUAUUAGUAGUCAAAUUGUUGUUUUGAAGGAUUAUCAAGCAAGGUAAACCGGUGCUGCUUCUAUGACAUGUUUGGUUGGUCUAUGUAACAAUCUAGGCUUACUUUGGGACUUCAAUUCAAUUAAUUGCAUCGAUGACCUUUUGCAUUAUUGGACAAUUUUCUCUAUGAAACAAGCUGGGAUGAGGAGUUCAAGAAUUUGCUAAUUAGUUUGCAUCCCGUUUGAUCCUAUUCUUGUCAUGGAAUUGCUUUAUCGCAUGACUGAUUAGGGCAUUGCUAACUGGGCUGAGGAACUUCAAAUUCCGUACCUGAGGCUGAUCAAAAUAAAGAAAAGGGAUUUUGUAGAGGAAGCUACUGCAACAGCUGAGGACCAUCUUGGGUGCCAACCUUGAAGAUGCUUUGGGGCCGACUGGAGUGUCCCAAGGAAGUUUUGAUGCUUCUGAAUAUUCAAACACUUGAUCUGAUCUUGACGUCACAUCCCUGAAUGAUUGUAAAUAGUUGUCCAAUGCGGUUGCAUUCUAAUGGUAUCACUCCCGAAUUGAUGAGGCUUUGUAGAGGGAGUGUUGCUUGAUACAGUCACAUUCUAAAGAUAUCACUCUUGAACUUGACGAUGCUCUGAAGGGGGAGGUAUGCACUGCUAGUCGUACCAUGAAAGACUCACUCUAUGAGCUGUGGAAUUUCACUUGAAAUUAGGACACAAGUAUGCAUGAUGACAAUCUCCUCAUUUUUGUCAGUUUAUUGGUGUGAUACUAUCCUAUAAAUGUUCUUAGAUAGGGUUCUGAUUUGAUAGGCUUAGCUCUCAUGUAUGCGGCAUUGGAUUUGUAAAGUUGAAAUUGACCUCCUCACAACCUAUCUUGUAUUGCUGAUUUUGCUGAUUGGAUCUUGCAAAAUCACCAAGUAGCAAGUACAUCUUUAUGUUUUAUAGUUUAGGCACUUCAUCUUUUUCAGCAUAAUUUUAUUAACUUCAAUUAUGUUCCUAAACACAAAAAGGGGAAGUGUUGCUAAUUGCUUACUUCUUUUGAGCUUGUUUGUUUCUUUUUCAUCAGCCAGCUAAUGAAGUCUCUGUUCAUUGUUGUCCAACUGCAAUUGGUGUCAAUGAUGUUUACGCAAUUGUACCUUAUCUCUCAUGGUGUAAAUUGCGAUGCUAGGAUCUCGGAUAUCUUCAUUUAUUGAUAAUUAGUCAGUGCUAUCUUCCUUGUGUAGAUUGAAGCUGCAUUCCAUAAAACCUGGAAAAAGUCCCAAAACACUACAGGAAUGAGCUAUGUCAUUAUGGAAAGGCAUCCUGAAGUUCCUUGCUAAUGGCAUUUAUCAUGUGCUCCGCGUUGUUAAUACUCUUAAAAGGAUUCUUGAUAUAAAGCGACAUCUUCUCAUGUGGUGUUUUAGUCCUUUGCAACCUUUGGCAUUGUCCUCUCCUUUGGCAAAGGCUGAAUGGCAAAUCACUUUCAGGAAGACUGCAUGUGCAAGUGGUUCUAUAUGUGAAUUCAAGCAUAAAAUGAGAUUUGUUAACAUGAUUGCUAGUUCUAACUUGGCUGAGGAAUUUCAAAUUCCAUACAUGAGACCAAUCAAAAUGAAGAAAGGGGAUUUUGUAGAGGAAGCAUCAACAACAGCUGAGGACCAAUUUGUGUGCCAACCUUGAAGACGCUCUGGGGCCAACUGGAGUGUCCUGAGGAAGUUCUGAUGCUUGUGAAUAUUCGAACACUUGAUCAUGUCUCAACAGUACAUACCCGAGUGAUUGUAAAUGUAUUUUUUUUUUCAAUUAAAUUUGCUUUCUGUAUGCUCAUUAGGUCUAUCUCUCCGUUAAUCAAACACGUAGCUGCUGACUUUUUGUAUGUUACCCUGUUGCAGAGUUGUUUGAUAAAGUUGCAUUCUAGAUAUAUCACUCCUCAACUCACUAAGGCUCUGAAGGGAGAGGUAUGCAGUGCUAGUUGUACCAUGAAAGACUAACUUGUGUGCUUAGACUAUAUGAGAUGUGGAAUUUCAUCUGAAAUUAGUACGCAAGUAUGCAUGAUGACAAUCUCCUUCAUUUGUAUCAGUUUUAGCGUGAUAAUACCUUGUAAAUGUUCUCAUAUAGUUUUCUGAUUUGAUAGGCUCACCUCUCAUGUGUAUGCAGCCAGCCUAUGAAGCGUCUGUUCAUUGUGGUUCAACCGGUGGAAAUGAUGUUUAUGCAUUCGUACCUUAUCUUUGAUGGGGUAAAUUGUGAUGCUACGUAUCUCGGUUUUUUUCAUUACUAAUGAUUAUAGUCAGUGCUAUUCCUCUUGUGUAGAUUCAAGCUGCAAUUCAUAAAACUCGGAGAAAGUCCCCAAACACCAUGGGAUGGAAAUGCAAGCAGGAAUGAGCUUUGUCAUUAUAGAAAGUCAUCCGGAAGUUCUUUCCUGUUGGCGUUUGUGUUGUUAGUACUCUUCAAAGUAUUCUGGAUGUGAAGCGACCUCUUCUCAUAUGGUGCAUUAUGCCUUGGCGAGCUUUGACAUCGUGCUAUUCUUUAGCAAAGGCCGAAUCACAAAUUGCUUGCUGGAAGAAUGCAUUUGCAGGCUAAGCAUAAAAUGAGAUUUGCUAACAAGAUUACCGGUUAGAUGUCCACUUCAAGCUGUAAUUUUGUGGCGGAGAGAUUCUUUUCGUGGAAAAAGCGAAUGCCAUGGAAUUAGCAAAUGAUUUGUCAAUUGCAGGCAAGAGUUUCAAUGAUAAUGUUUCCAAGAAGACAAUAGUUUUCUCAUUUGAAAGAAUUUUGGACACAAAAUAAAGCACUCAGUGUAAAAUCAUCUUUCUAUACCA